rnacentral:rRNA from 1 species
UACGAAGGGGGCUAGCGUUGUUCGGAAUACUGGGCGUAAAGCGCACGUAGGCGGAUCGAUCAGUCAGGGGUGAAAUCCCAGGGCUCAACCCUGGAACUGCCUUUGAUACUGUCGAUCUGGAGUAUGGAAGAGGUGAGUGGAAUUCCGAGUGUAGAGGUGAAAUUCGUAGAUAUUCGGAGGAACACCAGUGGCGAAGGCGGCUCACUGGUCCAUUACUGACGCUGAGGUGCGAAAGCGUGGGGAGCAAACAGG